rnacentral:tRNA from 1 species
GCUGUGAUAGAGUUAAUUUUAGAGCAUGGUGCUAAUAACGCCAAGUUCACAGGUUCAAUCCCUGCUUACUGCA